rnacentral:rRNA from 1 species
CUGGCCGUAAACUCUGAGUACUGAAUUGAAGGAUCCUCCAUAGUCCUUCAGUUGUAGCGAAAGUGUUAAGUACUCCGCCUGGGGAGUAUGGUCGCAAGGCUGAAACUCAAAGAAAUUGACGGGGGCUCACACAAGCGGUGGAGGAUGUGGCUUAAUUCGAGGCUACGCGAAGAACCUUAUCCCAGUCUUGACAUGUUUGGAUUAACUCCUGGAAACAGGAGCCAGGCCUUCGGGUACAACAAGCACAGGUGC